rnacentral:lncRNA from 1 species
CCCAUCGUCUUGAAAAACUGAGGGUGCUUAUACAAGCAUAUAUGGCAUAGUACUUUCAACCAUGUUGUAAUAUGGGACUACUGUUAAGCCUAGAGACCUUACUUUAAUGGACAAGAUCUAUUGAAAAUAGGUGUGACUAUCUUUCGUUGUAUUUUCCUUCAUUUAUGCUUCAUGAUGACUGAAGUCAUAUUCUUCUUUGCUACUUUCCUUUUGGUGUCUUACUUAGAACUGAAGUAGGAUGUCAUUUCCAAGGGCAUUGUAUUGCUUGAUGGAUCCUUUAAAAAUCCAUGAGAUGAGUAAUAUUGGAUGACCAAUCCUUUUGAUAUCUAUGUCUUUAUGCUCAAGGACUUAAUAUAGCAUUUUCAUAUAAUCUUGUUUUUUCAUGAUCAUUUCACCUUUUCUAUCAAUGAUUAUCUAAGUUCUAUGUAAGAAUGGCACUAGUUUUCCUCAUACAAUUCCAUUUUAGAACCCACUCAAACAAGCUCGAGAUGUAGAAGAAAAGUGAGGAUGUUAAUAAUGCACCACUCAAAUUAUGGAUGUUAAGAAUUCUUAAGGCAAACCCAAUAUGGAAAGAUUUGCCAUGAGACUAGUCAACUAGAGAUUGGGCACUGGUAGAAGAAAGAAGAUGUUCGACAAAGGAAUACAUGAUGCUCAUGGAGAAUGUUCGAUACUGUUAUUUCUUUCCUAUUAGUUUCUCUUGGUGAUCUACAUGUUAAUUAAUUAAAUUGCACUAUAUGUAUUAUUUUAGUUUUUCAAUUAGAUGGUUAAUAGAUAGUAUUUGUUUUCAUUUCUCUUAUUGUCUCCUUGUCACUUGUUUCUUUAUUUUUUGCAUUGUUUUGUUUUAUCUUUUCUUCAUGGCAUAAUCCUAGUUUCUUGUUCAAGUAACAUGUAGACCGCGAUCAAUUUUAAUAGAAAUUAAAAGAUAUAAUCUAUGAUUUGUGAUUUAAUAUAUGCAUUAUACAUUUUGUAAACAUAAAGUUAUUCAUGGAUAGUGCAGAUCUAAGCCUACAUUGAUCAAGUCUAGACUUUUUCUUUAGAAAAGAAAAU